rnacentral:rRNA from 1 species
CAGCCGCCACGGGAAUACGAAGGGUGCAAGCGUUACUCGGAAUUACUGGGCGUAAAGCGUGCGUAGGUGGUGGUUUAAGUCCGUUGUGAAAGCCCUGGGCUCAACCUGGGAAUUGCAGUGGAUACUGGGUCACUAGAGUGUGGUAGAGGAUAGUGGAAUUUCCGGUGUAGCAGUGAAAUGCGUAGAGAUCGGAAGGAACAUCUGUGGCGAAGGCGACUAUCUGGGCCGACACUGACACUGAGGCACGAAAGCGUGGGGAGCAAACAGGAUUAGAUACCCCAGUAGUCCCUGUCUCUUAUAA